CAGUCGCCGCGGUAAUAUGGAGGGUGCAAGCGUUAAUCGGAAUUACUGGGCGUAAAGCGUGCGUAGGUGGUGGUUUAAGUCCGUUGUGAAAGCCCUGGGCUCAACCUGGGAAUUGCAGUGGAUACUGGGUCACUAGAGUGUGGUAGAGGAUAGUGGAAUUUCCGGUGUAGCAGUGGAAUGCGUAGAGAUCGGAAGGAACAUCUGUGGCGAAGGCGACUAUCUGGGCCAACACUGACACUGAGGCACGAAAGCGUGGGGAGCAAACAGGAUUAGAUACCCCGGUAGUCCCUGUCUCUUAUAC
rnacentral:rRNA from 1 species